CAGCCGCCACGGGAAUACGGAGGGUGCAAGCGUUAUCCGGAUUUAUUGGGUUUAAAGGGUCCGUAGGCGGAUCUGUAAGUCAGUGGUGAAAUCUCACAGCUUAACUGUGAAACUGCCAUUGAUACUGCAGGUCUUGAGUAAAUUUGAAGUGGCUGGAAUAAGUAGUGUAGCGGUGAAAUGCAUAGAUAUUACUUAGAACACCAAUUGCGAAGGCAGGUCACUAAGAUUUAACUGACGCUGAUGGACGAAAGCGUGGGGAGCGAACAGGAUUAGAGACCCCGGUAGUCCCUGUCUCUUAUAA
rnacentral:rRNA from 1 species